AUUAUUAAAAAAUAAUUAAAAAAAUUUUAGAUUAGUAUUAAAUAUAUUUAUGAAAUUAAAAUAAUUUGGCGGUAUUUUAAUCUAUUCAGAGGAAUUUGUUUUGUAAUUGAUAAUCCUCAUUAUAUUUUACUUAUUUUAUUAAAUUUGUAUAUCGUUGUCAUUAGAAUAUUUUAUAAGAACAAUAAUUUUCUUAAAUUAAAUUAAAAUUUUAUGUCAAAUCAAGGUGCAGUUUAUAUUUAAGAAAAAAUGAAUUACAAUAAUAUUAAAUUAUAAUGAAUUAAAAAUUGAAAAAUUUUUAUGAAAGUGGAUUUGAUAGUAAAUUUAAUUAGAGUAUUAAAUUGAUUAUAGCUCUAAAAUAUGUAC
rnacentral:rRNA from 1 species